UCUCAUCAAUGUGUCAUAAAUCACAAGGUUUUUGCAAUCUCCUUUUAAUUGUUGAGCAGUGAUCAUGUUUAGUCUUUUAACAGAAGGACAUUUACACACUGCCAAGUGGAUUCAGAUGACUUUGCAUUUCUGUGAGUGAACCGAUCUCUCCGCCAGCUUCACUCAUGUGAAUACAUGUGCGUGUCCUUGAGCGAAAUCAAGCACACUCCUCCAGACUGAAGUCCAUGCGACGCUUCUGCACCCGAAACGAUUGCAGAAUUCAAAUCAUGCUGAAUAGAUUUCUCCGGGUGUUUUUGGAAAUGCAUGGUGAGACUGAGUGAGAUACAUAUGUUUAAUUCAUUUUCAAUGCAAGAAUACGUACUGCAUGAAUACUAGCAUGCUAUUCCACAAGUAGCAGAUUGCAGACUUGUGUUUCCAUAGGUCUAAGAGUAAGAGUGAGCGGAAGGUCAGGAAGCGGACGCAGGUAUUUUUGGAUGGACGUUACAUUAGUGAGUGACCCACAAAGCAGAAAUAGAUCUUUGUUCAUCGUCGAGCACUGACAGCACAUGUCUGUUAGAGAUCAGAUUCAGUGUCCCAAAUCACCAGAAUAUGUUCUACGAACGUUUCCUUAACGUUCUUCCCAUGAAGUUCCCAUGAGUAUUCCAUUUCAGCGAUUUGGAAACAUUAUUGGAACGUUACAUUUGAAUGUUCUCUGAACGUUCUGAAACCAGUGGCAACAUUUAAAAAAACAUUCCGUGUGUUUGUGCUAACGUUUUGAAGACACUUUGAACGCUAACAUUAAUAGAAUGUUUGUUCAAAGUCAUGUUUCUCAACACGAUUGCACAAAAUCAUUAGGUGUUACGUUUCAUCCUGGAGAUAAUGAGCACACUCUCACCAUCGCUCUCGGAGUCAGUGUGAAGUUCUGGGACAUUCUGUUCUUACUCCGCUGCUUUAACUGUAAAGAGCCAUCGAUCACGCCGCUGACAGGCUUUAUGACACUGGAUAACAAGUGUGUAAAAACAUCCUCCCUGUCCCGCUCACGGGCGUUUCAUUGGAUUGAACCCUAAGAGAGGAACAAAGGACAUUCAGAGCAGCGGAGACUUCACACACCGUCCACCCACAGUGAUGUCAAAAACAACUUCUGGC